GCGUGUUAGCGCAAUUGGUAGUAUGUCCGUCUACCAAGCGGAAAUUCCAUGUUCGAAUCUCGGUCGGCGCA